UGGGGAAUAUUGGACAAUGGGGGGAACCCUGAUCCAGCCAUGCCGCGUGUGUGAAGAAGGCCUUAUGGUUGUAAAGCACUUUAAGCGAGGAGGAGGGUACUGGUAUUAAUACUACCAGGUACUGGACGUUACUCGCAGAAUAAGCACCGGCUAACUCUGUGCCAGCAGCCGCGGUAAUCGAGAGGGUGCGAGCGUUAAUCGGCUUUACUGGGCGUAAAGAGUGCGUAGGCGGCUAAUUGAGUCGGAUGUGAAAUCCCCGAGCUUAACUUGGGAAGUGAAUUCGAUACGGGUUAGCUAGAGUGUGGGAGAGGAUGGUAGAAUUCCAGGUGUAGCGGUGAAAUGCGUAGAGAUCUGGAGGAAUACCGAUGGCGAAGGCAGCCAUCUGGCCUAACACUGACGCUGAGGUACGAAAGCAUGGGGAGCAAACAGG
rnacentral:rRNA from 1 species